AGGAAAUGAAACCAGCACUUGUUGCAGGUUACAGAUCACUAAGGACCUAGUAUCACCUACUUAAAUGAUCUAUUUUUUUCUCUGUUAGUUUAAUGAGAAAACAAAAUCAUGUCAUGUUGGGCUCAUUUUUUCUCAUCGUCUCGGUGCUCUAGCUUGGCGGCAUCUCUUUUCUGAGACCGAAACCCCGGACCAAAUAUAGUUAUAAUUACUCACUGUAAUUUCUGGUUUAUGGUCUGUUGAAUAGAAAAUAGGAUCGUGCCGAACAGCUGCACUUCCACGAUACACUUCAAAGAGCACCUAACUGCACUGUCACAAGUCACCACACAGCAUUUGUAUUCCAGAAUAGCCCGGUUUUACCCAAUCACAUGGUGUGAUCUUAAAUUAUGUCUCUACAUCUACUUCAACCAAACUCACUUCUGUCUGUGUAGGCUCUUUUGUUUGAAAAACAAUAUUAAGUUCCAUCUGCUGUGUAGUAAAGGGAAUUUCAGAGCUUUGGCUUUGCGUAAUACCUUCCAAGUACCAUUCCCAAUUCAUGAUUCAUAGGUAUAUGAAAAACAGGAAACCACCCAAUCAUGGCUCUUCGCGCUGCCCCACCACGGCGCUUCGUCGCGCACGCGCCAGCUGGGAGAGCGCGCCCACGCGGACCCGAUGGCAGUACAGGUCAUGAGCUGAGCUGCUGAGAUCAUGGAGCCUGCGCCGAGGUCGGACAGGGUACUGAUGGGACUUUACAGUGAUGGAGAGGUGCCUGUACGAAUCCAUGAUGUCCUGCACCGUAGCUGAAAUUACAAGACCUCUGACCUGUGUGUCCGGGAGACCUGUUGCCAACAGUGACUGCUGCUUUCCUCAAAUAGGACUAAAUAAAAGUCAGCCUCAAGCCCUAAACAAUCAGGGAUGGACAGGUGAAAACUGAGAGGCCAGUAGGUGGCCUUUAUUUACUCUGUUAUCCACAAAGGACAUGAGCAUAUUCUCAGCUUUAACAGUUUCUUUUCAGAUGUUGUAUUUUGCCAUGUAAAAAAAAAAAAGAUGCCUUUAAAUAUUAGAGCCAAGCCCACACAGAGCAAGCUUUCUGCUGCUGCAAAGGGUAGUGGGCACACCGAUGGCAACUCAUCUCAUUCACGUUUCUUAAGGUCCCCUAAACACGGGAAAGGCAAACAGGCUGUAAGCUCAGCACCAGGGGCCCGUUCAGGGUUAGAACCAGGCUCUGUGUCAGGAGGUGUGCCUGCAACACCAUCUAAACAGACUGGGGGACAAGGGUCAGUGUCAAGGCCAGGUUCAAAAAUCAAAGCUGACCCAGAAGCAGGCAAAGGGUCAACGCGUGGUUCAGCGACAGCACCAGGGGGUAAAACCAUGUCUAUGGAGAAUAUUCAGUCUUUGAGUGCUGCAUAUGCCACAUCAGGUACUAUGUAUCCCAGUGAACGGGAGUCCUUGGAACCCUCUGGUGGGUACCCCAAAGGCACCAUGACACUAGGUAGAAGUACCAGCCGCUCCUCCUACACUGGCCGGACAACAGCUACGGGAAGCAGCCCAAACAUCACAUCUUCUGGGAUGCAUCACUUGUCAGACCCUUGUGAAGACCAGAGUUUUCUUUCUGGAGGGACUUCUAGUUUACGGCGGCAGUCUGGAAGGCACACACAGAUAAUGAAUUCGGCUCGAUGUGGAGAGGUUUCCACAUUUGAUCUCCAUUCUCAGCUGAGGGAUCUGCAGAGAGAGAACAACAACCUGCGGAGAGAACUGGAAGGAGGUAGGGAUGGAAGGACAGGCCCCAGCAUGAACAGCGUCAACUUUUGGAGCCCAGAUUUAAAGAGAGAAAAGGGCGUGAGGCGAGAGGAGGGAGUGAGGAGCUCCAUUGUGAAAGACCAGUACAGGACAAACCAAGAAGAUUUGCAGCCUGGGAAUAACAGAAGAAACAAGCAGCUUCCAUUAACAGUUCAGGAGCUUCAGGAGGAGCUGAGGGCUCAUAGAGAGAUGAACAGUCGCUCCCAGCACCACCGUCAGCAGGGGAACUCCUAUCGAGAGCUCCAUAUGGACCAGGACCUCAGAGGGGGACUCAGCCCUGGCCACAGUCCCAGACAAAGCCCCAGCAACCUGCAGAGUCCUGGACCAAAGAGCAGCCCCAGAGCCAGCCCAUCCAACACCUACAAUCCAAGGCAACAGGAAGCUGACAUCAUCAUUCACAGCCCCGGAUACGGCUGUAACACUGCAGUAGCCGCACAAAGAAUCAGCCCAGCUGACACUCUUCAGCGUGGGCUGAGGAGCAGCCCAAAUCAGCCUCUCUACAGUCCUAGCCAAGGUCCCGGGAUUGUACCCAGCUCUGGUUCUCUCCACCCUUGUAGUCCCUGUCAGGUGCCUGGGUGUGACGGCUUUUCCUCACCUCCUCCCCUGGUUCCAUCAGAGGAGAACUUCUUCCAACUGCAGUCAGAGCACGAGCGGCAGGCCAAGGAGCUAUCCCUGCUGAGGAAAACCAUGGAAGAGAUGGAGAUGAGAAUUGAUUCUCAGAAGCAGACGCUGGGUGCCCGGGACGAGAGCAUCCAGAGACUGUUAGAGAUGCUUCAAGGCCAAAGCCAAGGUCAAGGUCAGGGACACUGGGGACGGGGACAGCGGACAGGCAUAAUAACCAUGGCAGCGCAGGAGGCUGAAGCCCAACUGGAGAACGUGCAUUUGAGAGAGGACACCAAGAUCUCUUCCAUGGAGAGGAACAUCAGAGACUUAGAGGAUGAAGUCCAGAUGCUAAAGACCAGCGGCCUGCUGCACUCUGAUGAGAGGCAGGAUGAGCUCAAGCACGUGGAGGUCUACAAGAGCCAUUCUAAAUUCAUGAAGACUAAGGAGCAGGCCUUGUCACCAUGUGUGUCUUCCAUCAGACCAGCUCCCACCUUCCUCCCCACCCAACAGCCUUGGAUCACAGAACAAGCAGAAAUAGAGCAGCUGAAGCAGGAGCUGAACAGGAAGGAGUCUGAGAUGCAGGCGCUGCAGACCAAACUAGAAACACUGACCAAUCAGAACUCGGACUGCAAGCAGCACAUCGAAGUGCUAAAAGAGUCGCUCAGUGCCAAGGAGCAGCGCGCCAAUACACUCCAGACAGAGGUAGAUGCUCUGCGAGUGCGUUUGGAGGAGAAGGAGCAGUUCCUGACCAAGAAGACCAAACAGCUGCAGGACUUGACUGAUGAAAAGAGCACACUAACGGGAGAAAUCAGAGACAUGAAGGACAUGCUGGACGUCAAGGAGAGGAAGAUUAUUGUCUUGCAGAAAAAAAUUGAGAACCUGUUGGAACAGUUAAAGGACAAAGACAAACAGGUGGCUGGAUUGAGGGAAAGGGUUCAGGGCCUUCAAACCGACUCCAGCAACACAGAUACGGCUCUGGCUACACUGGAAGAAGCUUUAUCAGAAAAGGAGCGAGUGAUUGAAAACCUACGGGAACAAAAGGACCGGGAGGACAGGGUUCGGCUGGAGGAGCUGGAGCAGCUGAGAAAGGAGAACCACGAAUUAAAAGACAAACUAUCAGUCAUGCAACCCCAGAAACAGCCUCAGAACCAGCCCGGUAACCCCAGCCCAUCCCAGAACCAGAGGCCAGAUGGAGAGGUGAAAACCAAAGUAGAUGGGCCACCGGCAAUGAGCCCCACGAUCCAAACUACAGAGGAAGCAGUCAAGAUAUGUCCGGAUAUCACAGAUCGUCUGAGGGUCCUAGAGCAGGAAGUGGGCCGUUACAGAGAGGAGUCCAGGAAGUCACAAGCUGAAGUGGAGAGGCUGAUGGGAGCCUUAAAGGAUGCUGAGAUGGACAAAUCCUGCAAGGAGAAAAAAAUCUCUGAUCUUGAAAGACAUGGACAAAUCAAGUCUCCUAACAUCCAGAAGCAGACAGUGCCAGGUGAGAUGAGGAAAGACGCCCUGAUUGAUGGACAUCCCCACUCGUUAUCACAGCUUCCUCUUUUGGCUUCCCAGGAUGCCAUGCGGGACACAGCUGAGCGGAUCAUGGAGCUGGAGAGGGCACUGAGAGAAAGCAUGAACACCUCUGCACAUAGGGAGGCUCUCUGGGCACAGGAGGAGGCUGCCCGGGUUCAGGCCCAGAGACAGCUGGAGGAACUGAUGGGAGCUUUGGAGAAGACACGCCAGGAGCUGGACGCCACAAAACUGCGUCUGUCCUCCACUCAGCAGUCGCUGCAUGAAAGAGACGGACAUCUGAACAGUCUGCGGCAGGAGAGACGCAAGCAGUUGGAGGAGAUUCUGGAGAUGAAGCAGCAGGCUUUGCUUGCAGCCAUCAGUGAAAAGGAUGCCAACAUCGCCCUGCUAGAAUUAUCCUCCUCCAAACGCAAGAAAGCCCAGGAGGAAGUGAUGGCUCUGAAGAGGGAGAAGGACAGGCUCAUGCACCAGCUCAAACAGCAGACUCAAAGCAGAAUGAAGAUGAUAGCUGAUAACUACGAGGAAGAUUACAUCCAUCCCCAGCAUCACCCUCAUCAUUCGCACCACAUGCACCCAGCAAAUGUCCAUCACCGAAGCUUGCCAAGAGCACCCCCCCACGCCAACCACCGACCCCCUAUGGAGCAGGAUGAUGAAGAGGGAAUAUGGGCAUGAUGACCACCAACAUGACCACCCACAUCCGUUUCUUCACAUAGCAAGGGUCAGCAAGUGCCAGUAAUUGCCGGAUGAGCUGAGGGGUUGCCAGAUCUGAGCUGUAACUGCCAGUUGCUCGUGGAAUCAGAUACCAGGCUUCAGCUACAAGAAUACAGAUACACCGGCCCAUAUAUCCUUCACAAUCGUGACCACCAGACCUGAUUAAAUACAGAUAUAAAUGCACACUCAAGCACCCACCAUUACACUUGGAUUCUGGUGAAGUUUUCAAAUGGGUAGAAAUUAGUUAUUCUAGCAACUGGCAUGCAGUGGCCCACAGAAGACCUGGGAACACCAUGUGUGAAUGCACCUCAUCAGAACAUCUGGCAUCAGUGUGGCAAGCGGUCCACUGCCUUCAUUUCUCCAGCUUUCUUCAAUUGGAAGCUGGAUUUAUUUUACAGUACCGUGGUGCUACAGAGUCCUGGCUUCUCAUCAACCGUCCCCCAAACAACUGUUGACUAUGAGCGCGGCCGAGCUGAGCCAGAGGAACUGGCAGUAAACUCAUGCCAGCUCUAGACUCUUUUAUGGUAGCAUGAAAAGUAUUCACGUUUGCAGCUAAAUAUCAGACUUAUGUAAAUAUGACAACACGGACCUUGUAAUCCAUAAUCCACAGAGACCUUCUCAAUGUAUUGUGCCAAAGGAGAUAUCUGCUGAGAUAAAUUACUGAAAUGACAAUGCAACUGAGUGCUUUGUAAAACCACCCUUGCCCAUCUCCCAUUUCCUGCAGAGAGAUCACCACGAAAUGUUUGAGGAUUAGCUUCCUUCUUUUCCAAAAAUAGGGUCCUUAGUUAACUGGGAGGGAAACACAGCUGACCUCAAAGCAGCCAACUUAUUAUAAGAAAAGUCUGUAUACAUUUCUCCUUGUGUUCGUCUUGCCUCCCCUUCAUUGUUUAAUGAACCACUGUUAUGUUCUGUUUGAUUUUCUACAGCUGAAACUAUUUGAGUGCCACUUUUCUUCUUCUUCUUCUUCUUCUUCUUCUUCUUCUUCUUCUUCUUUUUUAAAAUAUCACAGAUUCAUGUGACUUAUUGUUCUGAUUCCAACGAGUGGUGUAUUACGUUACUGUCUAUUGAUCUGUGAAUCUGAGUGACUAAUCUGAUUAUAAUGAAGUGUCUUGCAUUAAUACUUUUUUUCACUGUACUGGAGCUUGACCUGAUGUGAUGACAAUGUACAGUUGCAGUUUAAUUUAGCAGCAUAGCGGUGUUUUCAUUUGGUUGUUACCUAAUAUGUACAGUUUUUGUAGUGUGUGUGUGCGUGCGUGUGUGUGUGGUUUUGUGCUACACUGUCUUGGUUGUGAUGACUAUGAAAGUUUGGGGGUAACAGCGGUCGCCCUUGACUUCUUCCACAGUGGUUUGCAGUGAUCAGCCUGUUUCUGUUGUUUGAAUAAAAUAUUGUUUUCACAAGAA